rnacentral:rRNA from 1 species
UACGAAGGGGGCUAGCGUUGCUCGGAAUUACUGGGCGUAAAGGGAGCGUAGGCGGAUAGUUCAGUCAGAGGUGAAAGCCCAGGGCUCAACCUUGGAAUUGCCUUUGAUACUGGCUGUCUUGAGUAUGGGAGAGGUUAGCGGAACUCCGAGUGUAGAGGUGAAAUUCGUAGAUAUUCGGAAGAACACCAGUGGCGAAGGCGGCUAACUGGCCCAUUACUGACGCUGAGGCUCGAAAGCGUGGGGA